GAUGAACGCUGGCGGCGUGCCUAAUACAUGCCAGUCGAGCGAAAAGAUAAGGAGCUUGCUCCUUUGACGUUAGCGGCGGACGGGUGAGUAACACGUGGAUAACCUACCUAUAAGACUGGGAACACUUCGGGAAACGGGCGAAAAUCCGGGAUAAGAUUUGGAACCGCGUGGUUCUAAGGAGAGAGUUGGUUUUGCUGUCACUUCUAGAGGGACCUCCGCCGUUUUGGCUGGUUGUUAAGUUAAAGGGUUACCAAGGCGAGCAUUCGUGGCCGAGCGAAGAGGGGGGUCGGCCACACUGGAACGGAGACACGGUCCAGGCGCCUACGAGAGGCAGCAGUAGGGAAUCUUCCGCAAUAGGCGAAAGCCUUACGGAGCAACGCCGCGUGAGUGAUGAAGGGGUUCGGCUCGUAAAACUCUGUUAUUAGGGAAGAACAAAUGUGUAAGUAGCUGUGCACGUCUUGACGGUACCUAAUCAGAAAGCCACGGCUAACUACGUG
rnacentral:rRNA from 1 species